rnacentral:rRNA from 1 species
UACGUAGGGGGCAAGCGUUGUCCGGAUUUAUUGGGCGUAAAGAGCGUGUAGGCGGCCAGGUAGGUCCGUUGUGAAAACUGGAGGCUUAACCUCCAGCUGUCGAUGGAAACCAUCUGGCUAGAGUCCGGAAGAGGAGGGUGGAAUUCCUGGUGUAGCGGUGAAAUGCGCAGAUAUCAGGAAGAACACCCGUGGCGAAGGCGGCUCUCUGGGACGGUACUGACGCUGAGGCACGAAGGCCAGGGGAGCAAACGGG